rnacentral:rRNA from 1 species
AGCGAACGCUGGCGGCAGGCUUAACACAUGCAAGUCGAGCGGGCACCUUCGGGUGUCAGCGGCAGACGGGUGAGUAACACGUGGGAACGUACCCUUCGGUUCGGAAUAACGCUGGGAAACUAGCGCUAAUACCGGAUACGCCCUUAUGGGGAAAGGUUUACUGCCGAAGGAUCGGCUCGCGUCUGAUUAGCUAGUUGGUGGGGUAACGGCCUACCAAGGCGACGAUCAGUAGCUGGUCUGAGAGGAUGAUCAGCCACACUGGGACUGAGACACGGCCCAGACUCCUACGGGAGGCAGCAGUGGGGAAUAUUGGACAAUGGGCGCAAGCCUGAUCCAGCCAUGCCGCGUGAGUGAUGAAGGCCUUAGGGUUGUAAAGCUCUUUUGUCCGGGACGAUAAUGACGGUACCGGAAGAAUAAGCCCCGGCUAACUUCGUG